rnacentral:lncRNA from 1 species
GACCAAUCAAAACAGGUCUAGCUCACGUGCCUUUUUGCCCUCGUUCAUGUUGUUGAUCGGAGUUUUUAAAAUUCGUGGAAGUAUUUAAAAUGCGCCCUGUACAGAUUAUAUGUCAAAUCAUGGCUUCUCCACCUGUUUCCAUGUUGUCUGCUGUUGGAAGAACAUCUAUGAGGGACUGUGAAUAGAAUCUUUAUCUUCUGCUUAUAUACAACACUUACUCAUGGGCCAGUGGCACAAUUUCUAGCUGUACAAGGAUAUCAUGGUGUUUGAUAAGUUGAUGACAAUGAAACUAAUGACCAUGUUAACAUCAGAGGAAAAGCAAACUGGGAGAAGAAAGGACAACAUUGUUUUCGAUCUUGAAGGCCUGCGUAGACAUAGGACCAGGAAGGGGAGCUAGGAGAGGGAGAAGUGCCUGUGACUGAUAUAUGCACUAUCAGAUAGAAAUCCAGUUCAAAAGGAAAUCUGAAAUAGUGAAAUAGCAGAAAUCAUGACUUACAUACUGUGUAAUCUGCUCUAAAACACAAACAUUUGAAUUUAAAAUGUGUUAAAUGCAAAUCAGUUCUACUUACAAAAUGAAUCUUUCAGUAAAUUCUAAAUGCAGCUGAAAAGUGAUAUACAUGAAAUGUGUGAAAACAGUGCAAGUUAAGUUUGAUUUUUUGUUGUAUACAAAACUGAAGAACUUUUAUCCAAUUCAUUUUCUGGAUGCACAGUGUUAUUGGAAUUUUUUCAGAUAAUUUAAAAUUCUACAAGAUGAAGAUAUUUCAAAUAGUAUCUCGAGAAAAAAAGUUUGCACAAUGAAUUGUUUUUCAAAAAUUUGCAGUUGUUUGUUCAUUGUUUUGCCAGUCCAUUACACUUAAACUUUACUUUAUUUAUUCUUAAUAUUUUUGUGAAUGGAUUAGAUUACUCAUUCACAAGGCAAAAUCAAGAAUUUGUUGGUUAAGGUUAAUGUUGUCUCAAGCUAAGUGAUGGGCAGACUUUAUCCAUUUGUAGUGAUUUUGAGAAUAAUUAAAAUAAUUUGUCACAUAAAUCAAUAUUAAAUGACCUGGCUGAAAGUUAUAUAUGAAAAAAAAUGUAUUUUGUUUAGAUUGUUCUACAUAGAACUUUUUUGCAAGAUUUUUUAUUA